GUCCUGUUCGAUUAGUUGGUUAAAUCAUCUCGUUGUGGAUAGGGGCUCCGAGAAGCCGGAAGUUCGAAUCCUCCACAGGACA